rnacentral:rRNA from 1 species
AUUGAACGCUGGCGGCAUGCCUUACACAUGCAAGUCGAACGGCAGCACGGGAGCAAUACUGGUGGCGAGUGGCGAACGGGUGAGUAAUAUAUCGGAACGUGCCUAGUAGUGGGGGACAACCAUUCGAAAGAGUGGCUAAUACCUCACACGCACUCUGGUGGAAAGCGGGGGAUCGCAAGACCUCACGCUAUUAGAGCGGCCGAUAUCAGAUUAGGUCGUUGGUGGGGUAAAGGCCUACCAAGCCUACGAUCUGUAGCUGGUCUGAGAGGACGACCAGCCACACUGGGACUGAGACACGGCCCAGACUCCUACGGGAGGCAGCAGUGGGGAAUUUUGGACAAUGGGCGCAAGCCUGUUCCAGCCAUGCCGCGUGUGGGAAGAAGGCCUUCGGGUUGUAAACCACUUUUGUCAGGGAAGAAACGGCUUCGGUUAAUACCUGGAGCUAAUGACGGUACCUGAAGAAUAAGCACCGGCUAACUACGUGCCAGCAGCCGCAGUAA